GACGAACGCUGGCGGCGUGCUUAACACGUGCAAGUCGAGCGGUAAGGCCCUCGGGUACGACGAGCGGCGAACGGGUGAGUAACACGUGGGUGACCUGCCUCUAGCUCUGGGAUAAGCCUGGGAAGCUGGGUCUAAUACCGGAUAUGACCUCGCGGUGCAUGUUGCGGGGUGGAAAGCCUUGUGCGGCUGAGGAUGGGCCCGCGGCCUAUCAGCUUGUUGGU
rnacentral:rRNA from 1 species